rnacentral:lncRNA from 1 species
AUGCAACACUGGACAAGAUGCUAUGUGUGGAGCUCUGCACUGGAAGCUGCAGAUACAGCCGUGAGUGGAGGAUCGGGGUCUGGGUCUGUAAGCACUGAGAGCCUGAGCAGUGGGCCAGUGCUCCAAUGAAGCCAGAGGCCUCCUGGGUCCUGACACAGCUGGGGAUGGGAUUUGACGAAGGCCUGCAAACCGAAGCUGGACAACUUGAUAUAAAUCUGGAAGGACUCACCAUCACUGCAGACCAUGCAUGAGAAGGAAUGAUGUUCCUUGUGCCCAGGAAGCUAGGGAGACCUAUGAGAAGAAAGGAUGGCUUGUUAUGUGUAGUGACCUGAUGGAGACAGCCAUUCCACUCAGCCUCAUCCAAGGACAUGGGGACACAACAAGGGACCUCACGAGAUCGCUUUACAGACCAGUUGGUCCGGAGGCACAUUUCUUCUGCAGGGAUUGGCAAGGAAGAUUUCAGUCUUCAAGGUCUGUUGCUGGGCCUGGGCAAUGGUUGCGUU